ensembl:lncRNA
AAGUAUUUUAAAUACUGAAUUCAGUUAUUUUGUUUUGUUUUGAAUCUCAGCUGUAAUAGCUGAAUGGUUUAACCUAACUGGCUUCCUAAGAAGUUUAAGAUUUAGCUAAAAAAGCAGUUAACAUUCUUGUCUCUAUUUUGAAAUCAAAAAUAAUUUUUUCUAAACUCCUUCCUAGGACCAUUUAUGUGUCCCCCUAAAAAGGAGAAAGAGCUCAUUGAAAUAUUUGGGUUUUUUAAUUUUUAAAAAAUUUUUGUUUUGCUUUAAGUGAAAAAUAUUUUAUUUCUUUACUGCAUGCAUAGCACUUAAUGAAAUGGAUUUUUAAAAAAUCCACUGGUGAUAUCAGAAUGUCCAAGGAGUGGGCUGUCACUAAAAUUAUGGUUUACUUUACUUCUCUUCCACCUCUUAAUUGAAAUAUUUAGUUGUUAAACCAAAAGCCUCUGCAGUUAAGAACUUGCCUGAGUUUUAAUUCAGCAGCUUGACGGUUUGACUGACAUGCAUUAUAUAUAGCUCAAUUACGUCUGUUUUUUAUGCUAAGAAGGCAAACCACCACACACAGGUUAGCAAACGGGCCUCAACGUAUAAUUAGAAUAAACUUCUUAUACUCAGGGCCUUUAGGUAUGUUUAUCAGCAGUGUGGAAAUACAGUGAAUGGAGGAUGCCAGCAAGUUGUCAGAGCUUCUUGAAAUCCUGAACAGAAAGGCUCAUUGGUCAAAUCCAACACUCGACUUAUCAUUAUUAAAUAUUUCACUUGAAGGCCUAGCUUUCACCAGACUGUAGAAUAGUCUGUCUGCCUGGAAAUCUCUCCAUUCUUGUCCCACACUUUUUGCCAAUCUGGGGAGACAUUCUGCCCCGUUCUCCUCUCCCACCCAGCUACUGGGUCAUCCAUCCAUACGGUCACAGAUCAGUUGCAAUGACCUUCAGAGCACCCAUCCUGAGGAGGGAGGGCCCGCAGCGCAGCACUGCCUCCCCUCGUUCACAGGUGGGUUUCUGUCAGCAGGAUCUGCUUCUGAAGUCACUGCCAACCUGCCUGGAAACUUCCACAGCGCCUCCCCUGCCUCCUGUGACAGGAAUUAGCAGCCAAGAUAGGGACACCUGAUAGCGUUUCUACCAGGUCAGUCCUUACCUACACGGAGGCAUUCCCAUCUUAAUUGUUUCUCCUUAAGACAUUUCUGAACAUAUGCCAGGACAGGCAGAGUGAAAAUCCUCCCUAUGAAUGGACUCGUUUUAACGCCUGGCGUGAGGUCGGAUGUUUUCCCUUUACCCUUCCCCGCAGCCCUCUCCUAUCUCCACAUCAGUGUUUGCCAGUCACAGUCUUAACACGGCCCGCGGGGACGAGCAAUUUGUGUACUGUCACUGCAUGCCUUCUUUUCAUUAGGGUGACUUACUUGGAGCAGUUGCUCUUUGGAGCCUGUCAGGUCCAAGAAAUCAAAUGCAGUGCGUGUUCCGAAUAGAGGGGCAUCCGUGGUGAAUGUGCAGGUGGCUGUGGUCUGUUAGUUCAGAAAAUUGUCGUGUGCUAGUUGAGCUUGUCAUUAAAAGUCAACCAGCUGCCAUACAAGACCAGCCUUUGGCUGGGGGGUUUUAAGCAUCUGUAACUGCUAUAAACCUAGCCAUCCAGUUAGGAUAGAAUGUGCUUCUGUCUGGUUAAUAAAAAACCAUCUAAGAAAAUAUAUAUGUAUGUAUGUGUGUAUACAGUGGAAUUCAAGGACCAAAGCAAAAUUUGGACAGGAAUCUAUUAAUUUAGAAUUUUAUAAGAUAUUUAUUAAUAAAUGUUAUUUUUAAACAUUCCAUUUGAACAAUAUUCUUCUGUAGGAUCUACUUGUUUUUAAAGGAUUAGUUCAUAAUAAACUACUCUAGUUGUGUGUAUCUUCAUUUUACAGGGUUUCUAAUGGCUGUUCUCCAUCAUUUGGUGGAAAUGUUUGUUUAGACCUCUGUGCAUAGAAAUUUCAAGGAUUUGUAUUGCUCUGUGAGUUAUUUUUUAAUCUAUGUUUGGAACAGUUUUAAAUCAUCUAUUUCUUUUUUCAUUUUUAAAGUAAGCUCUUUCCUUUAGGAAGCAGAGUUCAGCUAAAGGGAAUCGGUAACUAUAACUGGAACAGCUCUCUUGUAAAAGUGUAAAAACAGCUUCAUCUCUGCUUCUCCCCACCGCACCCCAACUUCCCAGAAUGCCUUGCACUAUUCAGCUUCCUUAGUGCUCUUCUCGUCCCUUCCCAAACCGUGUGCAGUAGCUUUAAGCCAUUCAAGUUCCAUUAUGCAGUAUAUCUGAGAAGGGAAAGGAAAUAACCCGUUUAAAUUGGAAUAAAAUCGUGCCUAUGCAAACAGUAGCAAUUUAGAAUCACUCCUCUGCUUUUAAAAUAAUUUAUAUUUUAAAAUUGCACUUUAGCAUUUGUAAUCCCCGUCAGUUUCUCUCGUUCUCUUUCAGACCUCCUCCCUGCCCUUAAACUUCCCUUCACCCUCCCCUUCCCAACUACCCCACGCUUCCUCUAAGGCUCUGAGCUGCAUCAUUUAAAAUACUUUACGGAACAUUUGCACCAGGUACAUUUGCGUGCGUUCACCAGUAGCAUAGCCAAGACGCAUUGCUCACAUCAACCUAGAUGAAGCCUGCUACGAGAAUGCCAAGGAGAAGAGCCAGUAUACUCUUUCUCCCUUUAUUCAUAGCAUGUUUUUAAAAGAUGUUAUAUUAUGCAACAGAUGUGAGGGAGCAGCUAUGCUACACUUAAGAAUUUUCUGUCUUAUCCUCCAACCAAAGUAUGCUGAAUGAGCCAGGAGACAUUCCCUUGUGCAUCACCAUGCACGUCAGACUGUCGUCCUCGCCAUCGUCUCUCUGGGCUGCUGAAAAAAAAACGGUGACCCUAACUAUUUCACUCCUAGGUCUCAAAAAUACAAUGUUGCCUUGUACCAUAAUUAGGGACAGCACCUCUAUUUUACAAUUAUAACCUAAGAAAGGACAAGAAGACACUGCAGCAAUAAACUUACAAGUAAGAUCCAAUACC